rnacentral:rRNA from 1 species
AGUGAACGCUGGCGGUAGGCCUAACACAUGCAAGUCGAACGGCAGCACAGUAAGAGCUUGCUCUUACGGGUGGCGAGUGGCGGACGGGUGAGGAAUACAUCGGAAUCUACUUUUUCGUGGGGGAUAACGUAGGGAAACUUACGCUAAUACCGCAUACGACCUACGGGUGAAAGCAGGGGAUCUUCGGACCUUGCGCGACUGAAUGAGCCGAUGUCGGAUUAGCUAGUUGGCGGGGUAAAGGCCCACCAAGGCGACGAUCCGUAGCUGGUCUGAGAGGAUGAUCAGCCACACUGGAACUGAGACACGGUCCAGACUCCUACGGGAGGCAGCAGUGGGGAAUAUUGGACAAUGGGCGCAAGCCUGAUCCAGCCAUACCGCGUGGGUAAAGAAGGCCUUCGGGUUGUAAAGCCCUUUUGUUGGGAAAGAAAAGCAGCAGGUUAAUACCCCGCUGUUCUGACGGUACCCAAAGAAUAAGCACCGGCUAACUUCGCG